rnacentral:rRNA from 1 species
UACGUAGGGUGCGAGCGUUGUCCGGAAUUAUUGGGCGUAAAGAGCUCGUAGGCGGUUUGUCGCGUCGGCCGUGAAAUCUCCACGCUUAACGUGGAGCGUGCGGUCGAUACGGGCAGACUUGAGUUCGGUAGGGGAGACUGGAAUUCCUGGUGUAGCGGUGAAAUGCGCAGAUAUCAGGAGGAACACCGGUGGCGAAGGCGGGUCUCUGGGCCGGAACUGACGCUGAGGUGCGAAAGCGUGGGGAGCAAACAGG